UUUAAGGCGGGAUAGUUUCUCUUUGUAUUGAAGCCGAUGGCUUUUCACCCGACGGUGUCAAUUAAUUUACGAAUUCCACGGUGCUGCUUCUUUCUCUCCAGAACGUGAUCCUCUCAGUACUGGUUUAUGCAUCGGAAUUUAAUUUGUUUGAGUUUCUGCUCUGUAGAUUUCCUUUUUAAAAGUCUUGUUUGUCCUCAUUUCUCUGGGGGAGGGCGGCGGGGGGGGGGGAACCGUGCAUCGCAUAAAGUCCGAAUCAAAAGGGAAAAUAGCCCAACGUCCCCCGCACGCAGGAAUCCUCGCAGCCCUUCCCAGUUGCGCCAAGUCCCUUCAGGGUCCCUCCCGACUUCAAAGCAACGCGCUCCGCUCCGCUCAAGAAGUCCCAUCGCGGGCGAAGCUCCACUCCCGUCGGAAGCCAUGGAGAGGCGCGCGCCUGUGCGUGAAGUGCCCACACGCUUAUUUGGGGAGCUUAACCCCCAAGAGCGCUCAAAGCAGGAAAAGCAAGCGGGAGCAAUGGGCGGCUCUCUUUCGUGCCUCUGGUCCGGCUGACUGAGUCGUGGUAGCGGAGGAGCUGGCGCCUCUGCCUCAAGAAGGUUCGAAUCUUACCAGGCUCAAGGUUGACUCAGCCUUCCAUCCUUUCUAAGGUAGGUAAAUUGAGGACCCAGUUUGUGGGGGCAAUAAGCUGACUUUGUAUAAAUAUACAAAAGUAUGAAGGCUAUUGCUUAGCGCACUGUAAGCCGCCCUGAGUCUCCGGAGAAGGGCGGCAUAUAAAUCAAAUUUAAAAAAAAAAAAAAAAAUCUGCAAGAUGACACUUUCAUGGUGGCCUGCUGAGAUGGCAGCAAGUGGGAAAACAACAAACAGCAAGUGAAGCCACUGAGAAGUCUGCAAUUCCUAACCAUUAUGCUGCAGAUUCCAGGAAACUAACUUCCCCAUCUCCUCCUGUCCUCAGAUGAUCCCAGAAUCUUCCCUCAAAUUCAGCACUGGUAGUUGGGGGUAUGAAUUGGAUGUACCUCUACUUAAGUUCUAAAGAAAAGAACCUUCAGGAAAGCAACAUGUUGACUAUAUACUAUAUUUACUUCUUUAAAAUUUGCAUGUCAUCAUAACUGAUAUUCUGAUUUGUACCUGCUCAGUUAGUGACCAUCCUGAAGUCUGACAAUGAGCUCGAAGGAGAAGUGAUUUGGUGUCCUUGGGUUGAAACAUUUUCUCUAUUAAGUGAGCCCAAAGCCGUCUUCCAGCUCUUAAUUUAGCUAUUUCCAUAUAGAAGUUCAUACCAAUUCCCCAGAAGAAAGAAAGCCUGCAAUAAAAUAACUUAGGAUCAUAUCUAGAAUAAGCAAUAAAUGAUAACAUAAAACCUAUAUUUUAAAUAAACAACAUAGUUCAAUUUAAUUUUUUUUUAAUCCUCAUUUUCUUUAGGCUAGUAAAACUACAGGCAAUUUACUAAAAGAUCACUGAAUCAUAGCCUAUAAACCUGG